rnacentral:other from 1 species
GCGGGGCUGCGGGGUUUACGUGUAGGUACCAAAAUCCCUCGGGCCGAUAAUUAUUCGCUUUGGGAGCUGUCCCUGAUAAGGGCCUAGCCCUUAUUACAUGGCACCCACCUGGUUAGUUGGGCCAGUAGCGGAUUUGAUGCAUGCCCACGGCCAUCGUGGCCCCGCU